rnacentral:rRNA from 1 species
GAUGAACGCUAGCGACAGGCUUAACACAUGCAAGUCGAGGGGCAUCGGGACGUAGCAAUACGUUGCCGGCGACCGGCGGAUGGGUGAGUAACGCGUAUGCAACCUGCCCACGACAGGGGGACAGCCCGUUGAAAGACGGAUUAAUACCCCAUAAAACAGGGGUUCCGCAUGGGACUAUUUGUUAAAGGGUUUUCCGCGAGGGGGAUCCGGUUGUGGAUGGGCAUGCGUUCCAUUAGGCAGUUGGUGAGGUAACGGCUCACCAAACCGACGAUGGAUAGGGGAACCGGGAGGUUGGUCCCCCACACUGGUACUGAGAUACGGACCAGACUCCUACGGGAGGCAGCAGUGAGGAAUUUUGGUCAAUGGACGGAAGUCUGAACCAGCCAAGUCGCGUGAAGGAAGGCGGCCCUAAGGGUUGUAAACUUCUUUUGUAAGGGAAUAAAGGCCGGUACGUGUUACCGGUUUGCAGGUACCUUACGAAUAAGGAUCGGCUAACUCCGUG